CGGGGGAGCAAGCGUUGUUCGGAUUUACUGGGCGUAAAGGGCGCGUAGGCGGCCACUGCAAGUCGGUUGUGAAAUCUCCGGGCUUAACCCGGAAAGGUCAAUCGAUACUGCAGGGCUAGAGUGCAGAAGGGGCAACUGGAAUUCUCGGUGUAGCGGUGAAAUGCGUAGAUAUCGAGAGGAACACCUGCGGCGAAGGCGGGUUGCUGGGCUGACACUGACGCUGACAGCGCGAAAGCUAGGGGAGCGAACGGGAUUAGAUACCCCGGUAGUCCUAGCCUUAAACGAUGAAUGCUUGGUGUCUGGGGUUUUAUAGUCCCCGGGUGCCGUCGCUAACGCUUUAAGCAUUCCGCCUGGGGAGUACGGUCGCAAGACUG
rnacentral:rRNA from 1 species